GGGGAUUUAGCUCAGUGGUAGAGCAAUUGCCUGGCAAUCAGUAAAGCCCUGGGUUCAAUCCUCA
rnacentral:tRNA from 1 species